UUACAUAAGAAGAAAUUCCUGAGGAGGAAAAAUGAAAAUCCCUCCCAGCUGACGCUGUGAGGAUUACGAACAUGGGAAAUUCCAUAGCCGGAAGGUCGUCUGCCAACCAUUCGACUCAGAGAGUACAUGUUGCCAGGACACCGACGGAGUGUCAACGUGCGUUCAUCACAUAGACAACACACUUGCAAACACUCAUGCUGUUUUCCGAGGAAAGCAUGUCAUCGAUUUUGGAGAAACU